rnacentral:rRNA from 1 species
GCAUAUCAAUAAGCGGAGGAAAAGAAACCAACAGGGAUUGCCCUAGUAACGGCGAGUGAAGCGGCAACAGCUCAAAUUUGAAAUCUGGCUUCGGCCCGAGUUGUAAUUUGCAGAGGAAGCUUUAGGCGCGGCACCAACUGAGUCCCCUGGAACGGGGCGCCACAGAGGGUGAGAGCCCCGUAUAGUUGGACGCCUAGCCUGUGUAAAGCUCCUUCGACGAGUCGAGUAGUUUGGGAAUGCUGCUCAAAAUGGGAGGUAAAUUUCUUCUAAAGCUAAAUACCGGCCAGAGACCGAUAGCGCACAAGUAGAGUGAUCGAAAGAUGAAAAGCACUUUGAAAAGAGGGUUAAAUAGCACGUGAAAUUGUUGAAAGGGAAGCGCUUGUGACCAGACUUGCGCCCGGCUGAUCAUCCGGUGUUCUCACCGGUGCACUCUGCCGGGCUCAGGCCAGCAUCGGUUCUCGCGGGGGGAUAAAGGCCCUGGGAACGUAGCUCCUCCGGGAGUGUUAUAGCCCAGGGCGUAAUGCCCUCGCGGGGACCGAGGUUCGCGCAUCUGCAAGGAUGCUGGCGUAAUGGUCAUCAGCGACCCGUCUUGAAACACGGACC